rnacentral:rRNA from 1 species
GACGAACGCUGGCGGCGUGCUUAACACAUGCAAGUCGAGCGGUAAGGCCUUUCGGGGUACACGAGCGGCUAACGGGUGAGUAACACGUUGGUGAUCGGCUCUGCACUUCGUGAUAAUCCUGGGAAACUGGGUCUAAUACCGGAUAUGACCUCCUAACGCAUGGUGGGUGGGGGAAAGAUUUAUCGGUGCAGUAUCGGCCCGCGGUCUAUCAGCUUGUUGGUGGAGUAAUGGCCUACCAAGUCGACGACGGGUAGCCGACCUGAGAGGGUGACCGGCCACACAGGGACUGAGACACGGCACAGACUCCGACGGGAGGGAGCAGUGGGGAAUAUUGCACAAUGGGCGACAGCCUGAUGCAGCGACGCCGCGUGUGGGAUGACGGCCUUCGGGUUGUAAACCUAUUUCAGCAGGGACGAAGCGCGAGUGACGGUAACUGCAGAAGAAGCACCGGCUAACUACGUG